UUAAACGUCCAUAGCGCAUUGAAUACACCGGUUCUCGUCCCAUCACCGAAGUUAAGCAACGUCGGGCGCGGUCAGUACUUGGAUGGGUGACCACCUGGGAUCACCGCGUGACGUUGGCU
rnacentral:rRNA from 1 species